CAAGGUAUAGCUCAGUGGUAGAGUGCCUGCCUAGCAUGCACAAGGUCCUGGGCUCAAUCCCCAGUACCUCCA
rnacentral:tRNA from 1 species